GACGAACGCUGGCGGCGUGCUUAACACAUGCAAGUCGAACGGAAAGGCCCUGCUUUUGUGGGGUGCUCGAGUGGCGAACGGGUGAGUAACACGUGAGUAACCUGCCCUUGACUUUGGGAUAACUUCAGGAAACUGGGGCUAAUACCGGAUAGGAGCUCCUGCUGCAUGGUGGGGGUUGGAAAGUUUCGGCGGUUGGGGAUGGACUCGCGGCUUAUCAGCUUGUUGGUGGGGUAGUGGCUUACCAAGGCCUUGACGGGUAGCCGGCCUGAGAGGGUGACCGGCCACAUGGGGACUGAGAUACGGCCCAGACUCCUACGGGAGGCAGCAGUGGGGAAUAUUGCACAAUGGGCGGAAGCCUGAUGCAGCAACGCCGCGUGCGGGAUGACGGCCUUCAGGUUGUAAACCGCUUUCGCCUGUGACGAAGCGUGAGUGACGGUAAUGGGUAAAGAAGCACCGGCUAACUACGUG
rnacentral:rRNA from 1 species